ACGUCUCACCUCUGGUCAACCAGUAAAAGCCCAGGGAUAGAAAAUGAGUAGGACAUAUUUAGAGGACAGCAUGGAGAAGAGCAGAGAAGAACUGGAGAAUUAGGAUUGGAGCUGAUGAAAGUUAUGAACACCAAAGACACCCAGUGAAUAUGCAGGUGUUUUGUGCCCAUUUGUAAGAUGAAGGAUAACCGUCCUAUAAGAAGUGAGACCCCCGGGGAACAUCCAGGCUUCAUGGUAACUCCUCGGUGCCCAGAGAAAUGCACGUGGCCCACGGCUGCUGCCUUCUGAGGUCACCUGGCCAUACCCCAAGUAGUCUGGGAACCCAUGCUGAGCCUGGAGAAUCUUCACUCUCCCACCUCUCCCUCCAUUCCUCAGGGGAACAAGGACUCCAAAAGAGCCGUCGGAUAAACCUGGGUUUGGAUCCAGGCUUUCUACCUUGGACAAGUUACCUAAACCUCCUGCAUCUCGGUUUCUUCUUCGUCAAAUGGGGACAAUACUUCUUUCUUUAAAGGCUUUACUUUGAGGAUGAGGUGAGAGGGAAGCCAUCCUCCUCCGUACCCCACAAGGAUCACAGGCCAGUGAGAUCCAGCUAUUAUCACCUCUGGUGAUGCUGGUCGCCAACAACCCAAGGACCCCUGUUACUGAGCUCUAACCAGACCCUCCCUCUAGUAUCCAACACAUACUCUCAAGGGAAACAGAAAUCACACAGAAGAGGCCAGGCAGGCGCAGUGGCUCACGCCUGUAAUCUUAGCAUUUUGGGAGGCAGAGGCGGGUGGAUCACCUGAGGUCAGGAGUUUGAGACCAGCCUGGCCAACAUGGUGAAACCCUGUCUCUACUAAAAGCACAAAAUUAGCCGGGCGUGGUGGCACACACUUGUAAUCCCAGCUACUCAGGAGGCUGAGGCAGGAGAAUCGCUUGAACCCGGGAGGCAAAGGUUGCAGUGAGCCAAGAUCGUGCCACUGCACUCAAGCCUGGGCAACAAGAGCGAAACUCUGUCUCAAAAAAAAAAAAAAAAGAAAGAAAUCACAUAGAGGAAAUAAAUUGGCUGGUUCUAUUCUCAACCUCAGCUCCGCUGCUCCACUGGCUAACUCAGAGGACAGCCCGAGUCCAGCCAUGACCCACUGUCCAGCCUCCUUUCCUGCAGGGAACCAGCUUGGGUUUCCAGGACGACACACUGGCCCGAAGUCUUACUCCCAGUCGC
rnacentral:lncRNA from 10 species